rnacentral:rRNA from 6 species
ACCUUCGGGAGGGCGCUUACCACUUUGUGAUUCAUGACUGGGGUGAAGUCGUAACAAGGUAACCGUAGGGGAACCUGCGGUUGGAUCACCUCCUUACCUGAAAGAAGC